GUCAUUUAUAGUUUAACAAAUUAAUCACUCAUUGCUACUUUGUUUCAGGUGGCUUGUGACAACUUGGGUUGAUUUUUACAUAUACUUCGCUGUUUUAUCGACUUGGAUCGUUUACAAGGAGUCCACCUGGUGUAGAUCCCUACUUUGGAUAUUUUUCUUUGGGGUUUUUGGCAACCCUGUUUUAAGUAUCUACAUUCUUAUGC